GCGUCUGAGGAUAAUCAAUACAAGAGAAAUGAGAUGUGUGGAGGAUUGCAAACGAAACAACUAUCUACUAAAGAUCAAGCUGAUUUUUUUUAGGGGGAUUGGGUAAGCAAACACAAUUAAAAAGAGAAAGGGGCAUAAUGAUUUAUGUAGUGAAAGUAUUAUGAUAUGCAUGUCCAAUGAGUAUAAUGAUUGAUAUAGGAGGAGUACCAGGUUAUUUAGAUAACAUUUAUCAAGUAUUAAACUUCAAUUUUAA
rnacentral:lncRNA from 1 species